GUGACCAGAAAGUCCUUCACGUUCUAAAUUGCACGUGGACAUGGUAACUAUUGUAAGCUUGUGUCUUGUUGUGCUAUGGUCCAAUUCCAUGCCUCCCCCGUGGUUCAGUGUUUCUGUUCAUGGUGGGAUGUUUAAUAAGCAUGUUUUGCGUCUGUUUCCAGACCCCCUCCUUGGGCAGCCUGAGAAUCCUCAGUUCUGGGAGAGCUCACGCUAAUUUUUUUUUUUUUUUUUUUUUGGUGAGGCAGAUGCACCCUGAGCUAACAUCCAUUGCCAGUCUUCCUCUUUUUGCUUAAAGAAGAUUGUCGCUGAGCUAACAUCUGUGCCAGUCUUCCUCUAUCUUAUAUGCAAGACACCACCACAGCAUGGCUUGAUGAAUGAUGAGGAAAAGGAAUCACAGCAGUUUUAAAGGAAUUUGUCUGAAGUCAUCGCACAACUAAGACAGAGCCAAGAUCCAAGUUCGUCAGUUGACUGCAAAGUCCAUGCUCUACCCUAUCUGUAGCAAAUGAAAAGAAGGAAGUAUUUGAACCAUCUCGGAAAUGCAAGUGCCACCUCAGAAUAAAUGCCAGAGCAUGCUGUCACCUCACUAAGUUAACAGUAUUCAUUUGUAUUCUGAUGCCUAACAGUUAAGGACUCAGACCGUGACUUUUUCUUGAACUUGUUUUAUUUAAGUAGAGAAAGAUGAAAUGAUCUAUUCAUCUGUUUUAAAUUUAGACUUGAGAGCUUAGAACUGUUCAGUAAGUACAAUACAUAAUAGAAAAAUAUGCAGUUCAAAAUGAUUAGCUAUAAAAGUAGAGAAGUAAGAGAUUAGGAGGGAACAGAGAGGGAAAGAAAAUGACAUAGACAAAGGAAGAUGGAGAGACAGCAUCCCAGAUUUGCUAAUAUCAAGAAAGGUGAAGAUUAAACACAGGAAGAGAAUACGGAGACAGAUGAGAAACACGUGAAAACGCAUGCAGAAAAUCAGAGGUGGACACAGAGAGUCUUUGAUGGAAAAACACCUCAUCUUAUGACCUUUAGAAUAUUAAUGUUAAAAAUUUUAACUUCUAUUGGAACUUUUACAACUCUGGAAUAAUUAAUGAUGUG
ensembl:lncRNA